rnacentral:lncRNA from 1 species
AUGGAGGCCACUUCGUGGCACCGUUCGGGACUUUCGCUGAACAGCAGAAGCACGGCAGAAAAUAAGGAGGCCCCUCAGACCCGGAGGACGUCCAAGAUGAAAUGUGGUGCUCGUUUUACUUCAGCAGAAGAGCAGCUGGACCACGAGGCUGAUGAGGGAAGCCGAGCCCCGGACAGGAGCAGUGAUGUCCACCUCUCCACAAGAAACGGACACGCAGACACGGGCGAGAGAGAGACAGGCCGGGCGUGGCCGGGGUCACACUCCCAUCUGCCCUCGAGCAGAGAAGCCCCCGGACAAGGUGGGGAAAACGGUGCCUCCUUCCGGGUGAUCCAAAGGCUUUGCUCCACCGACGGAGAAGGCGGUGGCGGCAGGGAAGUGAGGGCUCUUUUGUACCGGGUGGAGGAAACCGAACUCACCGCCACCACCCGAGAGGGGGAAUCCCACCCAUCUGACUUUCCAGAACUGGACAGGAAAAGGGAAAUGACCGAGCCCAACCGGCCGGCUGUUCAGAUAAAUAACUUUGGCCGUCAGGGAAGUUUUGGAAGCGAAGCUGCAGGUGGGAGUCCGACGAUGAUCAACACUCUGCAGGGAACGCUGAGAAGACAGUUAACCCGGUCGGAUUCAGAGAGCAGCGUGGAGAACAGACAAGUCACCAAGCUGAUGCUGAAUUCCCCUGGCGAGGAUCACGGAGCCAGCAUCCUGAGCUGGCUUGGUUCUUCUGAGGCAUUGAAAAAUGGAGGCAGAGACGGCGCUCCGGCUGAAAGCAAGCCAGAGUUGGAAGGACCAACAGCCCGGCUUCUCGGCAACCCAGGUGAAGCAUCGAGAGAGCUCUCCGAUGGUCCCUCUCAGGCAGACGGUGUAGCAGAUGGUUGUCAGACUUUUCUGAUGGGCAGGAAGGAGAGGAUGGAGAAAGCUGGACGAGAGAAGGCGGCCGAGGGCCUGGAGGUGAAGGUGCCUGCUGUUUUGGAUCCGGAUUUGGUUUCUGGAGAGGGUUCAAGAGAGAGGGACAACCGGUCCCCCUUGAGCACGGACAGUCUUGACCCCUGCAACGACGAAGAGGGCCUCGAUCCAAGCAGCCGGGCGAGUUCCUUGCAAAGCCUGGGCCUGGAGGUGCCCCCGGCCGAUGCCCCCAGGCCCACCACGGCCAUGGUCGUCACACUUGCGAGCCCUGUGUCCGAGGCCGCGGGAAGGGUUCCCUGCCAACCUGCUGCAGCAGAAGGUCUGGGGAAAGAGAUGGAACGGGCGCCGGAAGAGCAGAGGAAAAGGACGAGGAAACAAGAGGACGAAAAGGCACUAAAAGUGGCGGACGUGAAGAAGACGUUUGAGAAGCGCAAGCCUGCAGCGGAGAAGGCUUCUUCGCCACCUGCUAGGAAAGGUGAGCCAUUAUCGCAGUGA